rnacentral:rRNA from 1 species
UACGUAGGGGGCAAGCGUUGUCCGGAUUUAUUGGGCGUAAAGAGCGUGUAGGCGGCCAGGUAGGUCCGUUGUGAAAACUGGAGGCUUAACCUCCAGCUGUCGAUGGAAACCAUCUGGCUAGAGUCCGGAAGAGGAGAGUGGAAUUCCUGGUGUAGCGGUGAAAUGCGCAGAUAUCAGGAGGAACACCGAUGGCGAAGGCAGCUCGCUGGGACGGUACUGACGCUGAGGCGCGAAGGCGUGGGGAGCAAACAGG